CCUACGGGUGACAGCAGUGAGGAAUAUUGGUCAAUGGCCGGAAGGCUGAACCAGCCAUGCCGCGUGAAGGUCAGUGCCCUAUGGGCGUUAAACUUCUUUUGUGCGGGAGCAAUAAUGGUCACGUGUGGCCAGACGAGAGUACCGUACGAAUAAGCAUCGGCUAACUCCGUGCCAGCAGCCGCGGUAAUACGGGGGAUGCAAGCGUUAUCCGGAUUUAUUGGGUUUAAAGGGUGCGUAGGCUGUGAGGUAAGUCAGCGGUGAAAUGCCCCCACUCAACGGGGUGAAGUGCCAUUGAUACUGCCUGGCUGGAAUGCGGAUGCCGUGGGAGGAAUGUGUGGUGUAGCGGUGAAAUGCAUAGAUAUCACACAGAACACCGAUUGCGAAGGCAUCUCACGAAUCCGCGAUUGACGCUGAUGCACGAAAGCGUGGGUAUCAAACAGGAUUAGAUACCCUUGUAGUC
rnacentral:rRNA from 1 species